GUAGCUCAGGGGUAGAGCGUUACCUUGCCAAGGUAAAUGUCGUGAGUUCGAAUCUCAUC
rnacentral:tRNA from 1 species